rnacentral:SRP_RNA from 1 species
GCUGGGUGUGGUGGUGGGCACCUGUAAUCCCAGCUACUUGGGAGGCUGAGGCAGGAGAAUCCCUUGAGCCCAGGAGGCGGAGGGUGCAGUGAGCCGAGAUUGCGCCACUGCACUCCAGCCUGGGCAACAGAGCUAGACACUGUCUCAA